rnacentral:rRNA from 1 species
CCUACGGGUGGCAGCAGUCGAGAAUCAUUCACAAUGGGGGAAACCCUGAUGGUGCGACGCCGCGUGGGGGAAUGAAGGUCUUCGGAUUGUAAACCCCUGUCAUGUGGGAGCAAAUUAAAAAGAUAGUACCACAAGAGGAAGAGACGGCUAACUCUGUGCCAGCAGCCGCGGUAAUACAGAGGUCUCAAGCGUUGUUCGGAAUCACUGGGCGUAAAGCGUGCGUAGGCUGUUUCGUAAGUCGUGUGUGAAAGGCGCGGGCUCAACCCGCGGAAGGCACAUGAUACUGCGAGACUAGAGGAAUGAAGGGGGAACAGGAAUUCUCGGUGUAGCAGUGAAAUGCGUAGAUAUCGAGAGGAACACUCGUGGCGAAGGCGGGUUCCUGGACAUUAACUGACGCUGAGGCACGAAGGCCAGGGGAGCGAAAGGGAUUAGAUACCCCUGUAGUC